rnacentral:rRNA from 1 species
AAUGAACGUUGGCGGCGUGGAUUAGGCAUGCAAGUCGCGCGAUUUCCUUCGGGGAAGAGCGGCGGAAGGGAGAGUAACGCGUAGAUACCUACCCUCGGGACCGGAAUAGCGACGGGAAACUGUCGGUAAUGCCGGAUAACGUCCCUGGACCAAAGGUGUGAAUCCGCCUGAGGAGGGGUCUGCGUCCUAUUAGCUAGUCGGCGGGGUAACGGCCCACCGAGGCGAAGAUGGGUACCGGGCGUGAGAGCGUGACCCGGCUCACUGGGACUGAGACACGGCCCAGAAACCUACGGGUGGCUGCAGUCGAGAAUCUUCGGCAAUGAGCGCAAGCUUGACCGAGCGACGCCGCGUGCGGGAUGAAGGCUUUCGGGUUGUAAACCGCUGUCAGUGGGGAGGAAAUUCUUGGGGGAACUCCCCCUUGAUUGACCGAUCCGCAGAGGAAGGACGGGCUAAGUUCGUGCCAGCCGCCGCUGUAAUAC